rnacentral:rRNA from 1 species
UGAAAAUCCCGACUUCGGAAGGGAUGUAUUUAUUAGAUUAAAAACCAAUGCCCCUCGGGGCUCUCUGGUGAAUCAUGAUAACUAGUCGAAUCGACAGGCCUUGUGCCGGCGAUGGCUCAUUCAAAUUUCUUCCCUAUCAACUUUCGAUGUUUGGGUAUUGGCCAAACAUGGUGGCAACGGGUAACGGAGGGUUAGGGCUCGACCCCGGAGAAGGAGCCUGAGAAACGGCUACUACAUCCAAGGAAGGCAGCAGGCGCGCAAAUUACCCAAUCCCGACACGGGGAGGUAGUGACAAUAAAUACUGAUACAGGGCUCUUUUGGGUCUUGUAAUCGGAAUGAGUACAAUUUAAAUCCCUUAACGAGGAACAAUUGGAGGGCAAGUCUGGUGCCAGCAGCCGCGGUAAUUCCAGCUCCAAUAGCGUAUAUUAAAGUUGUUGUGGUUAAAAAGCUCGUAGUUGAACCUUGGGCCUGGCUGGCCGGUCCGCCUCACCGCGUGCACUGGUCCGGCCGGGCCUUUCCCUCUGCGGAACCCCAUGCCCUUCACUGGGUGUGGCGGGGAAACAGGACUUUUACUUU